UUUGCUGCACUGAAGAUG
rnacentral:miRNA from 1 species